AGAUAGUAUUACUACUCACAGUGAGGCUACUGAAGUUUGAUUGAUAUAUAAAUAUGGAUCUCAAUAAGUUCUUGUAGUGGAUGUUGACCAUAGUUGAUCCACUGUAAGAAUAGGGUGCGCAUCAAGAUGAGAUCUAUCGACUUUGAUAGAGAGAAGUCCUAUGAGAUUUGAGAAGCUAAGUUCGAGAAUCUAUAGCUACAGUAGUGUGAUUGAUGGAAAAGAGUUUUCAUAGAAA
rnacentral:lncRNA from 1 species